UUACUAAAAUGUAUGAGUUGACGUUUGAAACGGCAUUCUGUAGUGUAAAUCACGUCGAAUUUCGGCAAGAACUUCGCAUCGCAAAAUCAUUUUAUUUGUCAAAUCAAAAGUUAGUGUUUUAAGUGUUUGUUGUGAGUGAGAAUAUACGAAAACGUUAUAAACCGCUGUUAAUUAUUAAAAAAAUACUAUUAAUUAACAAAAUUGCACUUUAAAAUAACUUUAUUCUUCAUCGAUAUUUUAUGGAGCGUAUGUUUUUAUUGAAAACAUUGUUGAAAAGGCUGACGCUACGGAUCAGCGUGAAAUGCGUCGACAAGCCUACGAAAUUCACAAUUUAUCACUUUUAACUUGAGAUGACGACUAUGUAAAAGUAUAAAGAAAGUGUAUAGAUUGUCGAAGGAUCAUAUGAACCAGUUAGGGUGUGAAUUACACCCUUUGACGAAGACCACUAAAAGCCAUUGAAAAGGACUUUCAACUCUUCUAAAGUUUCAGUUAUUGUGCACCUUGUUUAUUUGGGCAAAUGAAGUUACCAAAAAAAUCAUAAAAGAAAAUAUAAGAACAUAUUUGUCCCAGAUAUCCCAGUGUAUAUCUGAGGUUGUGGAGGCUCUGAACAACCCAGCAACUAUAUAUAAAUAUUUAAGAUUCCCGCAGAAUGCUCAAGAAUGGCAAAAGUUGAAGGAAAACUGAAGAAAAAAGAAGAAGGUGGUUUAAACUAAAUAAAUAUUUUUUUUCUUCAUAAAAAAGUACCAAUAUUAAUCUAAUGCUAAAUAUUGCAGUUUUUGUAAAAAAAUUAAAAUCACUUUGGUUGUUGGGUGUAUUGAUGGGACGUUGGUGGCCUUAAAAAGACCUGCUACCAAUAAAAAAUGGUUUUACUGUCACAAAGGCUAUCAUGCCAGAAAAUGUACAAUUUGUAAAGCCAUUAAUAUUUUUCGAAAUUCUGAUGAUAUGUAAUCCAUAAACGAAAUGUGUAUUAUAAACUAUGUAUUCAGAUUGUAUUCAUUUCAGUUAAAUUGAAUUGUGUAUAUUGCUUUAAAGUUAUUGUGAAAUUUAGUAUUUAUAUUAAAUAAACUUUAUUCAGUUAUAAAAAAAA